UGGACAACAUCCCGAAAGGGGUGCUAAUACCGAAUGUGCUAGCAAUCUCGCAUGAGGAUGCUGUGAAAGAUGGCCUCUAUUUAUAAGCUAUCGCUAGAGGAUGGGCCUGCGUCUGAUUAGCUAGUUGGUGGGGUAACGGCCUACCAAGGCGAUGAUCAGUAGCCGGUCUGAGAGGAUGAACGGCCACAUUGGGACUGAGACACGGCCCAGACUCCUACGGGAGGCAGCAGUGGGGAAUCUUCCGCAAUGGGCGAAAGCCUGACGGAGCAAUGCCGCGCGAGUGAUGAAGGAAUUCGUUCCGUAAAGCUCUUUUGUUUAUGACGAAUGUGCAGAUUGUGAAUAAUGACUUGUAAUGACGGUAGUAAACGAAUAAGCCACGGCUAACUACGUGCCAGCAGCCGCGGUAAUACGUAGGUGGCGAGCGUUGUCCGGAAUUAUUGGGCGUAAAGAGCAUGUAGGCGGUUUUUUAAGUCUGGAGUGAAAAUGCGGGGCUCAACCCCGUAUGGCUCUGGAUACUGGAAGACUUGAGCGCAGGAGAGGAAAGGGGAAUUCCCAGUGUAGCGGUGAAAUGCGUAGAUAUUGGGAGGAACACCAGUGGCGAAGGCGCCUUUCUGGACUGUGUCUGACGCUGAGAUGCGAAAGCCAGGGUAGCGAACGGGAUUAGAUACCCCGGUAGUCCUGGCCGUAA
rnacentral:rRNA from 1 species